GCCUCCUGCAGUUUGGUCUACUUGUGCUCUGUGUGCUCUGGGCUGGCAAGAUGUCUUUGCUGUUUCAGCUCCAGCCAGGGAAACACAGUCUUCAGUCUUCUUGGAAAGAGAGGUUGAGUCGUCCCUGAGCCAAGAGGAGCUGACUU